rnacentral:rRNA from 1 species
AUUGAACGCUGGCGGAAUGCUUUACACAUGCAAGUCGAACGGCGGCACGGACUUCGGUCUGGUGGCGAGUGGCGAACGGGUGAGUAAUGUAUCGGAACGUAUCCAAUAAUGGGGGAUAACUAAUCGAAAGGUUGGCUAAUACCGCAUACGCCCUACGGGGGAAAGCUAGGGACCUUCGGGCCUGGCGUUAAUGGAGCGGCCGAUAUCUGAUUAGCUAGUUGGUGGGGUAAAGGCCCACCAAGGCUUCGAUCAGUAGCUGGUCUGAGAGGACGACCAGCCGCACUGGAACUGAGACACGGUCCAGACUCCUACGGGAGGCAGCAGUGGGGAAUUUUGGACAAUGGGCGCAAGCCUGAUCCAGCCAUUCCGCGUGAGUGAAGAAGGCCUUCGGGUUGUAAAGCUCUUUCGCAAGGGAAGAACACUUAGCUACUAAUAUUAGCUGAGGUUGACGGUACCUUGAUAAGAAGCACCGGCUAACUACGUGCCAGCAGCCGCGGUAAUACGUAGGGUGCGAGCGUUAAUCGGAAUUACUGGGCGUAAAGCGUGCGCAGGCGGUUUUGUAAGUCAGAUGUGAAAUCCCCGAGCUCAACUUGGGAACUGCGUUUGAAACUACAAGACUAGAAUAUGUCAGAGGGGGGUAGAAUUCCACGUGUAGCAGUGAAAUGCGUAGAGAUGUGGAGGAAUACCAAUGGCGAAGGCAGCCCCCUGGGAUAAUAUUGACGCUCAUGCACGAAAGCGUGGGGAGCAAACAGGAUUAGAUACCCUGGUAGUCCACGCCCUAAACGAUGUCUACUAGUUGUUGGUGGAGUAAAAUCCAUGAGUAACGCAGCUAACGCGUGAAGUAGACCGCCUGGGGAGUACGGUCGCAAGAUUAAAA